CACGGCUCUGCUGCAAGAGCCAAGUCUCCUUGUGGCUUAACGGUUAUACUGCCAAUUGCUCCAGAGAAAGUGUCAAAAGAUGAUAUAAAUAACAAACAGAGACAUGUUAUGAAUGUUUCACAAUCUUACAAAAUUCUUACUUCGAAAAUCUACUCUUCUGGAGAAGGUUUCCCAUUCUGAGGUUGUUGGACCAGGACCAUGGAUAUAUUCUUGUAAAUUUUCAUUACCAAAACUUCCUGCUGCACUGGCUCUGCAGUGCAGAUGGAGGGAGGCUUUGGCUUCCUCAUCCUCAUCAUGAUGCCCUUCUGGAUUCUGCCAGACACUGCAGCCCAGGAAAUAAGGAUCCUCUUACCUGCUCCACAUAGAACACAGCAGGGAUCAGCA
rnacentral:lncRNA from 1 species